AUCCCAUGAUGAGGACACUUACGAAGUAAUUCCUUGAACCUUUUCCACGCCUCAUAGAAGGACUCAUCAUCCAAUUAUUGAAAAGUAGUUAUUUCAUUUUGCAACU
rfam:Gossypium arboreum cultivar AKA8401 contig_58218_1, whole genome shotgun sequence.